rnacentral:rRNA from 1 species
GCACUUCGGGAUAAGCCAGGGAAACUGGGUCUAAUACCGAAUAGGACCAUAAGGCGCAUGCCUAUUGGUGGAAAGCUUUUGCGGUGUGGGAUGGGCCCGCGGCCUAUCAGCUUGUUGGUGGGGUGACGGCCUACCAAGGCGACGACGGGUAGCCGGCCUGAGAGGGUGUCCGGCCACACUGGGACUGAGAUACGGCCCAGACUCCUACGGGAGGCAGCAGUGGGGAAUAUUGCACAAUGGGCGCAAGCCUGAUGCAGCGACGCCGCGUGGGGGAUGACGGCCUUCGGGUUGUAAACCUCUUUCACCAUCGACGAAGGUCCGGGUUUUCUCGGAUUGACGGUAGGUGGAGAAGAAGCACCGGCCAACUACGUGCCAGCAGCCGCGGUAAUACGUAGGGUGCGAGCGUUGUCCGGAAUUACUGGGCGUAAAGAGCUCGUAGGUGGUUUGUCGCGUUGUUCGUGAAAUCUCACGGCUUAACUGUGAGCGUGCGGGCGAUACGGGCAGACUGGAGUACUGCAGGGGAGACUGGAAUUCCUGGUGUAGCGGUGGAAUGCGCAGAUAUCAGGAGGAACACCGGUGGCGAAGGCGGGUCUCUGGGCAGUAACUGACACUGAGGAGCGAAAGCGUGGGGAGCGAACAGGAUUAGAUACCCUGGUAGUCCACGCCGUAAACGGUGGGUACUAGGUGUGGGUUUCCUU